rnacentral:rRNA from 1 species
CUACGGGUUGCACCAGUGAGGAAUAUUGCACAAUGGGGGGAACCCUGAUGCUGCAACGCCGCGUGGAGGAUGACGCAUUUCGGUGUGUAAACUCCUUUUAUAUGUCAAGAAAAUGACGGUAGCAUAUGAAUAAGCACCGGCUAACUCCGUGCCAGCAGCCGCGGUAAUACGGAGGGUGCAAGCGUUACUCGGAAUCACUGGGCGUAAAGGACGCGUAGGCGGGUUGGAAAGUCAGGUGUGAAAUCCUACAGCUUAACUGUAGAACUGCACUUGAAACUUCUAAUCUAGAGUAUGGGAGGGGGAGAUGGAAUUAGUGGUGUAGGGGUAAAAUCCGUAGAUAUCACUAGGAAUACCUAAAGCGAAGGCGAUCUCCUGGAACAUUACUGACGCUAAGGCGUGAAAGCGUGGGGAGCAAACAGGGUUAGAUACCCCCGUAGUC